GCUCAGGUCGCCGCAGCGGCCCGGCAGCCGCCGCAGUGAUGUCAACCGCAUCCGCCGCAGUCCCCGGCAGCCCUAAAACGCGCCGCGGCCCGCGGAAACCCCAGCCCGGCUCCUCCCGCCAGGGCCGAGGAGGAGAGGACGCGCGGGUCCCCGGAGUCCCCCACUCCGUCUGCCUAAGCCGUGGAGACCGGGAGUGGACGCACGGCGGUGCCUGGACCCCCGGGGAGGUGGAAGAAGAGGAGAGGGAAGGGAGCUGUGGAGUCAGAUGCGGCUUCCUUUACCUGAAUAAUCCUUUAAAGGAGUAAUAAUUUUUAAAAAGGAGCUCGACCUCAGCCAAAGAGGACGGCGCACGAGAUUAGGGCUUGUAGAUCCACUGCCUUUGGUUGGGCCGGCUGAAUCGCUGGGGACUGCGGCCAGUCUCUUAAAAAAGGAGAACAAAAAGCCGAAGACCUUGUGUGGCCGCCGGGACAAAGCACCUUGGGUUCGGCGAGAAGGGACGCGCAGGAGCGCUGAACCCAGAACACGCGUGGCCGCUGCGGAAGGGCGUCCGCCCGGCGUGCGGAACGCUGAGGGGACUCUCAUCCUCUGUCUCGCCCCCUUUUUUUGACCCGGGGAUCCAGCCGCAUUAUACACGAGUGACCUUUUAAAUCUACGUCCACCCUUUACCUGCGAGAGGACUGCAGCAGGCGAGUUCCGGAAGGCUGAAUCCCCAGGUCCCAGCCCCGGACCGCGGCAACUCGCCCCUGCGGCACGCCCGGCCCGGCUGCGCCCCCACUCAGCGAUGGAGGAAAAAGCCUGGAUGCGAAAGGAUGGGGGAGAACAAAGAGCCUUUGGAAGACGUCGCUGUUAUCUCAUUGUCUGUGUGAUUGGGGGAGCUGCGGCGGGGAGGAUGCUGUGGUCCCUUCCUCCGGCGUUCCCCACCCCCAUCCCUCUCCCCGCUGUCAGUGCGCACGCACACGCGCCGCUUUUUAUUUCUUUUUCCUGGUUUUCUUAUUCCAUCUUCUACCCACCCCUCUUCCUUUCUUUCACCUUUCCUUCCUUCCUUCCUCCUUUCCUUCCUCAGGAGAAAGGCCUCUCUCUC
ensembl:lncRNA MIR124-1HG MIR124-1 host gene